AUUGAACGCUGGCGGCACGCCUAACACAUGCAAGUCGAACGAAUGGCGGACGGGUGAGAAAUGUCUGGGAAACUGCCUGAUGGAGGGGGAUAACUACUGGAAACGGUAGCUAUUACCGCAUACCAUCGGAUGUGCCCAUAGGGGAUUAGCUUGUAGGUGGGGUAAUGGCUCACCUAGGCGACGAUCCCUAGCUGGUCUGAGAGGAUGACCAGGAACAGUGGAACGGAGACACGGUCCAGACUCCUACGGGAGGCAGCAGUGGGGAAUAUUGCACAAUGGGCGCAAGCCGGAUGCAGCCAUGCCGCGUGUAUGAAGAAGGCCUUCGGGUGGUAAAGUACUUUCAGCGGGGAGGCGUUACCCGCAGAAGAAGCACCGGCUAACUCCGUGCCAGCAGCCGCGGUAAUAC
rnacentral:rRNA from 1 species